rnacentral:misc_RNA from 1 species
GAUGAAGAACGCAGCGAAAUGCGAUACGUAAUGUGAAUUGCAGAAUUCAGUGAAUCAUCGAAUCUUUGAACGCAUAUUGCGCUCUCUGGUAUUCCGGAGAGCAUGCUUGUUUGAGUAUCAGUAAACACCUCAACUUCCAUAUCUUUUUUGAAAUGGGAGUUGGACUUGAGUGAUCCCAACGCUUUUCCUCACCGAAAAGUGGCGGGUUACUUGAAAUGCAGGUGCAGCUGGACUUUUCUCUGAGCUAUAAGCAUAUCUAUUUAGUCUGCCUAAAAAACAGAUUAUUACCUUUGCUGCAGAUAACAUAAAGGAGAUUAGUUCUUGUGCUGACUGAUGCAGGAUUCACAAAGACAGGCUUCGGCCGACUUUGUAAACUCGAUCUCAAAUCAAGUAAGACUACCCGCUGAACUUAAGCAUAUCAAUAAGCGGAGGA